rnacentral:rRNA from 1 species
AUUGAACGCUGGCUACAGGCUUAACACAUGCAAGUCGAGGGACCGGCGCACGGGUGAGUAACACGUAUCCAACCUGCCCUUUACUCGGGGAUAGCCUUUCGAAAGAAAGAUUAAUACCCGAUAGAAAGGAUGGGGAUGCGUUCCAUUAGGUGGUUGGUGAGGUAACGGCCCACCAAGCCUUCGAUGGCUAGGGGGUCUGAGAGGAAGGCCCCCCGCAUUGGAACUGAGACACGGUCCAAACUCCUACGGGACGCAGCAGUGAGGAAUAUUGGUCAAUGGGCGUUAGCCUGAACCAGCCAAGUAGCGUGAAGGAUGAAGGCUUAUGGGUCGUAAACUUCUUUUAUAUAAGAAUAUGUAUUAUAUGAAUAAGGAUCGGCUAACUCCGUGCCAGCAGCCGCGGUAAUUC